rnacentral:rRNA from 1 species
AUUGAACGCUGGCGGGAGGCCUAACACAUGCAAGUCGAACGAGUGGCGGACGGGUGAGUAAUGUCUGGGAAACUGCCCGAUGGAGGGGGAUAACUACUGGAAACGGUAGCUAAUACCGCAUACCAUCGGAUGUGCCCAUAUGGGAUUAGCUAGUAGGUGGGGUAAUGGCUCACCUAGGCGACGAUCCCUAGCUGGUCUGAGAGGAUGACCAGCCACACGGGAACUGAGACACGGUCCAGACGCCUACGGGAGGCAGCAGUGGGGAAUAUUGCACAAUGGGCGAAAGCCUGAUGCAGCCAUGCCGCGUGUAUGAAGAAGGCCUUCGGGUUGUAAAGUACUUUCAGCAGAGAAGCGUUACUCGCAGAAGAAGCACCGGCUAACUCCGUGCCAGCAGCCGCGGUAAUAC